rnacentral:rRNA from 1 species
AUACGUAGGUGACAAGCGUUAUCCGGAUUUACUGGGCGUAAAGGGCGUGUAGGCGGCCUUGCAAGUCAGAAGUGAAAUUCCUGAGCUCAACUCGGGCGCUGCUUCUGAAACUGCAGGACUUGAGUGCUGGAGGGGCCAGCGGAAUUCCUAGUGGAGCGGUAAAAUGCGCAGAUAUUAGGAAGAACACCGGUGGCGAAGGCGGCUAUCUGGACAGUAACUGACGCUGAGGCGCGAAAGCGUGGGGAGCAAACAGGAUUAGAUGCCCUGGUAGUCCACGCCGUAAACGAUGAAUACUAGGUGUAGGGGGUAUCGACUCCCUCUGUGCCGCAGUUAACACAAUAAGUAUUCCGCCUGGGGAGUACGGCCGCAAGGUUGAAACUCAAAUGAAUUGGCGGGG